AAUAAAGUGCCUGAUUAAAGGAAUAUUCUGAUAGGAUAGAUAAUGUAGUAUUCUACCUUUAUUA
rnacentral:tRNA from 1 species